UACAGAGGUCUCAAGCGUUGUUCGGAUUCAUUGGGCGUAAAGGGUGCGUAGGCGGCGCGGUAAGUCGGGUGUGAAAUCUUGGAGUUUAACUCCGAAACUGCAUUCGAUACUGCCGUGCUUGAGGACUGGAGAGGAGACUGGAAUUUACGGUGUAGCGGUGAAAUGCGCAGAUAUCGGGAGGAACACCUAUGGCGAAGGCAGCUCGCUGGGACGUUACUGACGCUGAGACGCGAAAGCGUGGGGAGCAAACAGG
rnacentral:rRNA from 1 species